ACGCUGGCGGCAGGCCUAACACAUGCAAGUCGAGCGGUAGAGAGAAGCUUGCUUCUCUUGAGAGCGGCGGACGGGUGAGUAAUGCCUAGGAAUCUGCCUGGUAGUGGGGGAUAACGUUCGGAAACGGACGCUAAUACCGCAUACGUCCUACGGGAGAAAGCAGGGGACCUUCGGGCCUUGCGCUAUCAGAAGAGCCUAGGUCGGAUUAGCUAGUUGGUGAGGUAAUGGCUCACCAAGGCGACGAUCCGUAACUGGUCUGAGAGGAUGAUCAGUCACACUGGAACUGAGACACGGUCCAGACUCCUACGGGAGGCAGCAGUGGGGAAUAUUGGACAAUGGGCGAAAGCCUGAUCCAGCCAUGCCGCGUGUGUGAAGAAGGUCUUCGGAUUGUAAAGCACUUUAAGUUGGGAGGAAGGGCAUUAACCUAAUACGUUAGUGUUUUGACGUUACCGACAGAAUAAGCACCGGCUAACUCUGUGCCAGCAGCCGCGGUAAUACAGAGGGUGCAAGCGUUAAUCGGAAUUACUGGGCGUAAAGCGCGCGUAGGUGGUUUGUUAAGUUGGAUGUGAAAUCCCCGGGCUCAACCUGGGAACUGCAUUCAAAACUGACUGACUAGAGUAUGGUAGAGGGUGGUGGAAUUUCCUGUGUAGCGGUGAAAUGCGUAGAUAUAGGAAGGAACACCAGUGGCGAAGGCGACCACCUGGACUAAUACUGACACUGAGGUGCGAAAGCGUGGGGAGCAAAC
rnacentral:rRNA from 1 species